GUUGACAACCACCACCCGAAAAAAAAACCAAUCGUUGAUCGCAGUAGCCCACCAAACACUAACCACCCACCAACAACGAUCACCAAGGCCCGACCGUAACCAUGGUAGCCAUAGUUACGAGAAAAUAACAAGCUGAAAGAUAGCCGGAGAAAUGGGUGCGAAAAUGUCUCGCCGUAAAGGGCGGAAGGCCGCUGCGGCCGCGGAAAAGGCCACUCCGGAGAUUCGAGUGGACGAAACGUACGUUGACCGGGUUGCGGGCGGCGGACGGGUUGACGGGGGAAAUGACUCGGCGGGGGGAAUUCCGGAACCGGAUCCGCCGGUUUCGGAACAAAAUUUAACUGACAAUUGUUUUGACCAUUCCGUUAAACCGGCGGAUCCGGUUCUGGAAGCCCCAGUGGUAAUUGAAAUUCCUUUAAAUAAUUCUUUGGACAAUGCUACGGCGGUUCCGAUUCCGGAACCGUCCGUAGAUCAAAAUUCUUCUCUGACUAAUUUGACCAUUUCAGGGGGAAUCGAGGGCCAAAUCGAUGGGAUUACCGUUGUUCCGAUACCAGAUCCGCCGGUUCCGGAACAAAAUUUAACUGACUUUUGUUUUGAUCAUUCCGUUGAACCGGCGGAUCCGGUUGCGGAAUCUCCGACGGUAAUUGACAUUUCCAUAAAUAACUUUUCGGACAAUGCUACGGUGGUUCCGAUUCCGGAACCGCCUGUAGGUCAAAAUUUUUCCUUAACGAAUUUGACUAUUUCAGGACUAUGCCAGGACCAAAUUGAUGAGAUUACCGUUGUUCCGAUACCGGAUCCACCGGUCACGGAGCAAAAUUUAAAUAACGAUCCUUUGGUUGAUUCCGAAAGACCGGUGGAUCUGGUUGAGGAGUCUCCGGUAAUCGAUUCAGUUGAAUUUUCGAAACCGACCAGAGAACGUUAUGUUCGCAAAAUUAAUUUGUCCAUUUCAGACACUUCGGUGGGAGUUCCGGAACGUCAAAAUUCUAAAAAAUCCGUUCGAUUUUCAGAUCUAGCCCAGGUUAAAGAGUUCACAGCGUCGGAAUCUUCAAUUCCGAUCCUGUACUCGCUUUUGGUAAAAGAUCCCCCGACACAAAAUUCAAAACAAAUUAAGUAUUUUUGGUGCUACUCCUGUCAAAAUUCUCGUACGAAUUCUUUGCCCUGGUUGCUGCGAUUGCGGUAUUCCAAAUUCUCAAUGUAUUUGCGCCACUUGUUUUGUGGUUCGAUGUGUUGCGCUGUUUUUUGUUUGCUUGUUUUUGUUUGAAUUGUUUAAUCUUUUUUCUCGUUUCAUGAGCUGUUUCUUGUUACUAGCGAUUCCUUGUUACUGAUGACGAGACGAUUGGGCUGGAGAUUUAAAGUUAAACAAAUAUUGUUGAUGAUGACGAUGAUGCUGACAUAAAGAAGACGACGAUGAUGAUGAUAACCGGACGCUGAUUUUGAGAUUUUUGAUUCG